GUUAAGCGACUAAGCGUACACGGUGGAUGCCCUGGCAGUCAGAGGCGAUGAAGGACGUGCUAAUCUGCGAUAAGCGUCGGUAAGGUGAUAUGAACCGUUAUAACCGGCGAUUUCCGAAUGGGGAAACCCAGUGUGAUUCGUCACACUAUCAUUAACUGAAUCCAUAGGUUAAUGAGGCGAACCGGGGGAACUGAAACAUCUAAGUACCCCGAGGAAAAGAAAUCAACCGAGAUUCCCCCAGUAGCGGCGAGCGAACGGGGAGCAGCCCAGAGCCUGAAUCAGUGUGUGUGUUAGUGGAAGCGUCUGGAAAGGCGCGCGAUACAGGGUGACAGCCCCGUACACAAAAAUGCACAUACUGUGAGCUCGAUGAGUAGGGCGGGACACGUGGUAUCCUGUCUGAAUAUGGGGGGACCAUCCUCCAAGGCUAAAUACUCCUGACUGACCGAUAGUGAACCAGUACCGUGAGGGAAAGGCGAAAAGAACCCCGGCGAGGGGAGUGAAAAAGAACCUGAAACCGUGUACGUACAAGCAGUGGGAGCACGCUUAGGCGUGUGACUGCGUACCUUUUGUAUAAUGGGUCAGCGACUUAUAUUCUGUAGCAAGGUUAACCGAAUAGGGGAGCCGAAGGGAAACCGAGUCUUAACUGGGCGUUAAGUUGCAGGGUAUAGACCCGAAACCCGGUGAUCUAGCCAUGGGCAGGUUGAAGGUUGGGUAACACUAACUGGAGGACCGAACCGACUAAUGUUGAAAAAUUAGCGGAUGACUUGUGGCUGGGGGUGAAAGGCCAAUCAAACCGGGAGAUAGCUGGUUCUCCCCGAAAGCUAUUUAGGUAGCGCCUCGUGAAUUCAUCUCCGGGGGUAGAGCACUGUUUCGGCAAGGGGGUCAUCCCGACUUACCAACCCGAUGCAAACUGCGAAUACCGGAGAAUGUUAUCACGGGAGACACACGGCGGGUGCUAACGUCCGUCGUGAAGAGGGAAACAACCCAGACCGCCAGCUAAGGUCCCAAAGUCAUGGUUAAGUGGGAAACGAUGUGGGAAGGCCCAGACAGCCAGGAUGUUGGCUUAGAAGCAGCCAUCAUUUAAAGAAAGCGUAAUAGCUCACUGGUCGAGUCGGCCUGCGCGGAAGAUGUAACGGGGCUAAACCAUGCACCGAAGCUGCGGCAGCGACGCUGAUGCGUUGUUGGGUAGGGGAGCGUUCUGUAAGCCUGUGAAGGUGUGCUGUGAGGCAUGCUGGAGGUAUCAGAAGUGCGAAUGCUGACAUAAGUAACGAUAAAGCGGGUGAAAAGCCCGCUCGCCGGAAGACCAAGGGUUCCUGUCCAACGUUAAUCGGGGCAGGGUGAGUCGACCCCUAAGGCGAGGCCGAAAGGCGUAGUCGAUGGGAAACAGGUUAAUAUUCCUGUACUUGGUGUUACUGCGAAGGGGGGACGGAGAAGGCUAUGUUGGCCGGGCGACGGUUGUCCCGGUUUAAGCGUGUAGGCUGGUUUUCCAGGCAAAUCCGGAAAAUCAAGGCUGAGGCGUGAUGACGAGGCACUACGGUGCUGAAGCAACAAAUGCCCUGCUUCCAGGAAAAGCCUCUAAGCAUCAGGUAACAUCAAAUCGUACCCCAAACCGACACAGGUGGUCAGGUAGAGAAUACCAAGGCGCUUGAGAGAACUCGGGUGAAGGAACUAGGCAAAAUGGUGCCGUAACUUCGGGAGAAGGCACGCUGAUAUGUAGGUGAAGCGACUUGCUCGUGGAGCUGAAAUCAGUCGAAGAUACCAGCUGGCUGCAACUGUUUAUUAAAAACACAGCACUGUGCAAACACGAAAGUGGACGUAUACGGUGUGACGCCUGCCCGGUGCCGGAAGGUUAAUUGAUGGGGUCAGCGCAAGCGAAGCUCUUGAUCGAAGCCCCGGUAAACGGCGGCCGUAACUAUAACGGUCCUAAGGUAGCGAAAUUCCUUGUCGGGUAAGUUCCGACCUGCACGAAUGGCGUAAUGAUGGCCAGGCUGUCUCCACCCGAGACUCAGUGAAAUUGAACUCGCUGUGAAGAUGCAGUGUACCCGCGGCAAGACGGAAAGACCCCGUGAACCUUUACUAUAGCUUGACACUGAACAUUGAGCCUUGAUGUGUAGGAUAGGUGGGAGGCUUUGAAGUGUGG
rnacentral:rRNA from 1 species